AGCAUCUAAGCGUGAAGCCACCUCCAAGAUAAGAUAUCCCAUAGCGUUAAGCUAGUAAGACCCCUUGUAGACUACGAGGUAGAUAGGCUGCAGGUGUAAGCAUGGCGACAUGUUCAGCCAGGCAGUACUAAUCGGUCGAGGGCUUGUCUAA
rnacentral:rRNA from 1 species